UACGUAGGCAGCGAGCGUUGUUCGGAGUUACUGGGCGUAAAGAGCGCGCAGGCGGUCGUACAAGUCGCGUGUGAAAGCCCCCGGCUCAACUGGGGAGGGUCACGCGAUACUGUUCGACUCGAAGGCAGGAGAGGGAAGUGGAAUUCCGAGUGUAGAGGUGAAAUUCGUAGAUAUUCGGAAGAACACCAGUGGCGAAGGCGACUUACUGGACGAUUGUUGACGCUGAGGUGCGAAAGCGUGGGGAGCAAACAGG
rnacentral:rRNA from 1 species